UACGUAGGGUGCAAGCGUUGUCCGGAAUUAUUGGGCGUAAAGAGCUCGUAGGCGGUCUGUCGCGUCUGCUGUGAAAACUCGGGGCUUAACCCCGGGCCUGCAGUGGGUACGGGCAGACUAGAGUGCGGUAGGGGAGACUGGAAUUCCUGGUGUAGCGGUGAAAUGCGCAGAUAUCAGGAGGAACACCGGUGGCGAAGGCGGGUCUCUGGGCCACUACUGACGCUGAGAAGCGAAAGCAUGGGGAGCGAACAGG
rnacentral:rRNA from 1 species